UUUUAUUUUACAGUACAUGAAUUACUGUGUAUGUAUUUACCUAGAAAUAACUGCUAAUUUCUGGCAAUUGUUUCUACACGCUUUGACGAGUGUAAGGCAGGUUGACGUUUCUUGCCCAGCUGUGAUUUCCGCUAAAUGGGCCAGCUGCAAAAUUUUACAUGUAGAUAAUCAACCAACACAGAAGCCACCAACUGCUUUAUUAAAGUAGAUGUCUGUCCUAGUGAGUUACACAUUGUGAGCCGACAUGGCAAUUCAUCCACCAGAGGCAGCUGAGUGCCUUAACAGUUUGCCAAGAUCGCCUUGCAAGGAUGGGCGUUGGUGGUGGAUGGCGGGCAACCGACAGCGUCAUUGCAUCAGUACUGCAAUAAAUUCUGCAGUCAAACUUUGUUCAUUAUGCAAUUCAACAUUUUAGUGGAUGUGUGAGCAACAAAAGUUCAACACUCACCUUUUGUCACUAUUUCUGGAAAGUCUACGCAUACAAUUUGACGCAAACGUUGGAUAACUCCAAUGUAUAUACACCACAGAGAAACCACUACAACUGUAUGGCGUCAAAUCCGAUUAAAAAAAGUCGAACGGGCGCCAUCGCGCGAGAAAGCAAGAUGAAACAUCAUUGCGCAGUCAAACACUUUUACCGAGAGAAAAUGUGGUCGAGCGAGCAUAGGACGUUUUCCGAGAGCGCAGGCCAACGUGGUGUGCGCAAAUUAAACUUGAGGACUUGCAAGUGUGACUUUGAGCGAGCGCAACUGCAUUAAAUGAAUUUGACAGCAGAGACUUUUGUUUGCCUGAAGAAAUACUUACUACAUGUCAAGACUCAGAAAUGACUGCACUGUCACAAAUAUGCCGCUUCCACACACGGAUGUAUUUUCAUCCCACUCACACCAAUUUUCCAGUCUGUUCUCCAAAACCCAUUUUGCUCUCGCAACCGCUUACUAUAAUUUUAGAACAGGGGGACAUUUUGACCAUACAGAUGAAAGAGGACGGUGAAAGAUGAACGAUGACUGACAAUAAUAAAGAGGUCUACUGUCACAAGUAUGUGGUGGUGAAGUUGUUCUCUGCCCAGCUGACAGAGACAGGAGAUACAGAGACAGGAGUCCAUUCUAUUACAAAAAGAUCAUGUUUGACCAGGUGGAGUCAGGCUUCUACUUCAUCGCCCUGGACCACUACACGAACGAGCCAGAAGACGUUAAGUUUGGACCACCAUUACAAUGAGCCUGUCCUCCUAUAGCUCCUCCCACCAGCCUCCACGGUUCUUUUAAUUAUGGUGAUGCCCCAACUGUAAGAACCUGGAGAUCUCUACUGGUUUUGAGGGAGGUGACAUGGCCACAAACAGUGCCUGGGACACCUUCCAGCGCUACCGCUGUCUGGAAAACGGCCAGAGGGUGGUCUGCUGCAACAGUGUGUCAGCUCGGCUGCACCUGGGAACUAAAGAUUGUCCAGUCUGCUGAGAGGGUCAUUGGCUGCCACCUGCCCUCCAUUAAGGUUCCUGCACGACUCCAGGGUAUACAGAUGAGGAGGCAUACAAAGGAUUCACAGACUUCACCCUCCCUACACCUCUGAUGAAUAAAACAGGAAACCUGUUCUAUCACCAUGCACUGCAAAAUCCUUCUGGCUAUGGAUACGGAGA
rnacentral:lncRNA from 1 species